rnacentral:rRNA from 1 species
AGAACGAACGCUGGCGGCAUGCCUAAUACAUGCAAGUCGAACGAACACUUCGGUGUUAGUGGCGCACGGGUGCGUAACGCGUGGGAAUCUGCCCUUGGGUUCGGAAUAACAGUUGGAAACGACUGCUAAUACCGGAUGAUAUCGAAAGAUCAAAGAUUUAUCGCCCAGGGAUGAGCCCGCGUAGGAUUAGCUAGUUGGUGAGGUAAAGGCUCACCGAAGGCGACGAUCCUUAGCUGGUCUGAGAGGAUGAUCAGCCACACGUGGACUGAGACGACGGCCCAGACUCCGACGGAGGCA